ACCGCGGAUGACCCCGGUGCCCGGUACAAAGUGGUUGCUGUCCAUCUAUGCCAGGGUGGUGGCUUCGAGGCUAGAUGAGACCAAGGCCUGGAUCACCUCCAUCUUUGGCUCAAUCCUGAAGAUGGACUCAACAAAGAAGGUGAGCGAUAUCGUCAUCCUCUCCCUCCUUCCUUCCUUCCUUCCUUCCAGCUUACCGUCACUCUCCCUUUCAUCGUUCAGGUGAUCAAGAAACUAGCUGGUGCCGCGGCAGGAACGGCAGCCUGGGUGACCAACGUGGGGAACGAGCACGGCCAGAUUUUGAUCAGCGUCCUCACUGCAGCCGAGGGCGCUGGCCUGCACCCCAUGGCCACCGGGCUGAUGCGGCGAUACCGUGAUGCCAGUGUGUCCCCGCCUCUGGUCCUGUAUGUGGACCGAGACUGCUGUUCCCACAGGGGACCCUGCAAGGUGUCCCUCUUAUUCAACCAGUGGGAUCAUCUGGUGGUGCAGCUCGACGUGUGGCACCUGAUGCGACGCUUUGCAGCGGGUGUCACCACGGAGAGCCACCCACUGUACAGCCUCUUCAUGGCGCGUCUCUCGUUCUGCAUCUUUGAGUGGGACCAGGGAGACGUUGCCAGGCUGCGACAGGCCAAGGCUGGCGAGGCGGGGAACGAUCCCCGAGGCUCCGGCUACGGAAGGAUCCCACUAAAGGAGCUGGCCCGCCACUGCCGCCGCCGCACACGUGGGGCGGAGGAGACGGGCCGGCUCAUCGACGAGAUGCUGGAGGCCUUCGGGGACGCCACUGACACCAUGGGUAUCCCGCUUUUGGACCGCGCUAAGAUACAGGAAAUAUGGAAAACUCAGAGGCGCCACCUCCACUGCAUCCAGGACCCACCCGGCGUGCACCUGUACAUGCAGACCGGGCAGCUGGUCAAAGGGGGGAUCACGCUGCCGGUGUUCAGGUGUGGCCGUGGUUCAACUUCGUUGGAGUCGUUCCACCUGCAUCUGGACCGCUUCAUACCUGGCACUUCAGCCAGCGCGGCCCACUUUCAGGCCUAUCUGCUGGAAGGCCUGGCGCGGUGGAACGAGGACCGUGCGGCACAAGCAGUGGAGGAAGCAGACCGUGAUAUCGUCUGCUACAGUGGCCAACUCCAGCACUCCGUCAACGAGCUGAGCGACAUUGUAUAUCGCAUGAAGCUGGUUGACGAUUACACCCGGCCUGCAAAGUACACUGGUGAGCUCAUAGGUAUCCAGUACCUAUUUUCGCAGACCGGUCGAGUGCUGGAGGAAGUGAUGGGCAGGGAUCCCGACGCUCCGGAUGGGACUGAUACAGACGACGACGAUGACAGUGUCGACGAGGGCUUCCAAGAGGACGAGGGGCCGGUGCAGGAACCUCUGGACAACACCGUCUUCGGCCUUGAGGAGGACUUUGCCCGACAACCGUUGUCGUCUGACAAGUCCCAGUCGCGCCCUGCCAUCGGCGCCUCAAAGUCUGGGCCAGCCGACCAGGACACCUCCCCUGGAGAUGAGGCCACUCAAAGCGUGUCCCACGAGCUGGUAAGUCUCUCCCGACGAGUUGUGCUAUACCUGUGGAAUAUCUGAGGAGUGCUCCCCUUUCUCACUUUCGCUCUCUUCCCCCAACAGAAUAGCCUUGGACAUGACACUGGCCCAGGUUACCAGCACGUGGUCAACCUGGCCUCCAGUCUCGUGAAGCUGCGUCACCAUCCCUACGUGACACAGCAGCAAGUGGCGGAGAUCGUCACCCUCUGGGAACGAUUGCCGGAGGGCGACAAGGCCCCAGUUCGCUUUCCGCCACGCCACCAGGAAAGACUGGUGCAGGGGAGGUUCCGACGCAAGCACUCGCAGACCAGUGUCACACCGGGAGUGGAGAGCUUGCAACGGUGUAUGGUCGGCCAAGGCGGCCAAGCUGCACAGAUGCCAAACAUCAGCUGCCUUGUGGAGGCCGUUUGUGUACAGCUGUCCAGGAUUCACCCCGAAGGAACCACCAUCAGCGGCGUGAGGGUGAACCGCUGGGCAGCUGUGAUGCGGGAUUACAUCUGCAUCCAGGAAAAUAUCCUGACAAAUCCGGUACUCGUGGCCUAGACACGUAUCCAGUUAUUCCCCCUCAA